GGGUUGUGAGGUUAAGCGACUAAGCGUACACGGUGGAUGCCCUGGCAGUCAGAGGCGAUGAAGGACGUGCUAAUCUGCGAUAAGCGCCGGUAAGGUGAUAUGAACCGUUAUAACCGGCGAUUUCCGAAUGGGGAAACCCAGUGUGACUCGUCACACUAUCAUUAACUGAAUCCAUAGGUUAAUGAGGCGAACCGGGGGAACUGAAACAUCUAAGUACCCCGAGGAAAAGAAAUCAACCGAGAUUCCCCCAGUAGCGGCGAGCGAACGGGGAGGAGCCCAGAGCCUGAAUCAGCAUGUGUGUUAGUGGAAGCGUCUGGAAAGGCGCGCGAUACAGGGUGACAGCCCCGUACACAAAAGCGCAUGUGCUGUGAGCUCGAUGAGUAGGGCGGGACACGUGGUAUCCUGUCUGAAUAUGGGGGGACCAUCCUCCAAGGCUAAAUACUCCUGACUGACCGAUAGUGAACCAGUACCGUGAGGGAAAGGCGAAAAGAACCCCGGCGAGGGGAGUGAAAAAGAACCUGAAACCGUGUACGUACAAGCAGUGGGAGCACAGGUUUACCUGUGUGACUGCGUACCUUUUGUAUAAUGGGUCAGCGACUUAUAUUCUGUAGCAAGGUUAACCGAAUAGGGGAGCCGCAGGGAAACCGAGUCUUAACCGGGCGUUAAGUUGCAGGGUAUAGACCCGAAACCCGGUGAUCUAGCCAUGGGCAGGUUGAAGGUUGGGUAACACUAACUGGAGGACCGAACCGACUAAUGUUGAAAAAUUAGCGGAUGACCUGUGGCUGGGGGUGAAAGGCCAAUCAAACCGGGAGAUAGCUGGUUCUCCCCGAAAGCUAUUUAGGUAGCGCCUCGUGAAUUCAUCUCCGGGGGUAGAGCACUGUUUCGGCUAGGGGGCCAUCCCGGCUUACCAACCCGAUGCAAACUGCGAAUACCGGAGAAUGUUAUCACGGGAGACACACGGCGGGUGCUAACGUCCGUCGUGAAGAGGGAAACAACCCAGACCGCCAGCUAAGGUCCCAAAGUCAUGGUUAAGUGGGAAACGAUGUGGGAAGGCCCAGACAGCCAGGAUGUUGGCUUAGAAGCAGCCAUCAUUUAAAGAAAGCGUAAUAGCUCACUGGUCGAGUCGGCCUGCGCGGAAGAUGUAACGGGGCUAAACCAUGCACCGAAGCUGCGGCAGCGA
rnacentral:rRNA from 1 species